rnacentral:rRNA from 1 species
CCCUUAGAUGUUCUGGGCCGCACGCGCGCUACAAUGAUGAAUUCAACGAGUUUAUAACCUUGGUUGAAAAGCCUGGGUAAUCUUUUGAACUUUCGUCGUGAUGGGGCUAGACCCUUGCAAUUAUUGGUCUCCAACGAGGAAUUCCUAGUAAACGCAAGUCAUCAGCUUGCAUUGAUUACGUCCCUGCCCUUUGUACACACCGCCCGUCGCACCUACCGAUUGAAUGGUCCGGUGAAAUCUUCGGAUUGAGACUUUGAUUUCUUCACGGAAACCGCUGUUUUAAAAAGUUGAUUAAACCUUACCAUUUAGAGGAAGGUGAAGUCGUAACA